UACGGAGGGUGCAAGCGUUAUCCGGAUUCACUGGGUUUAAAGGGUGCGUAGGUGGGUAGGUAAGUCAGUGGUGAAAUCUUCGAGCUUAACUCGGAAACUGCCAUUGAUACUAUUUAUCUUGAAUACUUUGGAGGUAAGCGGAAUAUGUCAUGUAGCGGUGAAAUGCUUAGAUAUGACAUAGAACACCAAUUGCGAAGGCAGCUUACUACACAGUUAUUGACACUGAGGCACGAAAGCGUGGGGAUCAAACAGG
rnacentral:rRNA from 1 species